rnacentral:rRNA from 1 species
UACGAAGGGGGCUAGCGUUGCUCGGAAUUACUGGGCGUAAAGGGAGCGUAGGCGGAUAUUUAAGUCAGGGGUGAAAUCCCGCAGCUCAACUGCGGAACUGCCUUUGAUACUGGGUAUCUUGAGUAUGGAAGAGGUGAGUGGAAUUCCGAGUGUAGAGGUGAAAUUCGUAGAUAUUCGGAGGAACACCAGUGGCGAAGGCGGCUCACUGGUCCAUUACUGACGCUGAGGCUCGAAAGCGUGGGGAGCAAACAGG